rnacentral:pre_miRNA from 1 species
AGAGGGAUAGCUGGGUCAAAUGGUGGUGCCAUUCCCAGAUUUCCAAGGAAUCUCCAUACUGCUUUCCAAAUUGGCUGCACCAAUUUGCAGUCCCACCAGCAGU